rnacentral:lncRNA from 1 species
GAGAGAGAGAGAGAGAGAGUCCGGCUGGGAUACUAUCGAUAGCACCAAGGGCUUGGUGCUAUCGAGUUUUCCACCGUUAGAUUUAACUCUUUGAUUAUUUUUAACCGUUAGAUUAUACUAUUCAACCAACCACCCACUCAACCUUAGGAGGCCCACAUCAUCCUCAUCACAUAUUUCUCAAUCCAAGGGCUAAAAAACUAAUAGCACCAAUAGCUUGAUGCUAUUGAUAGCAUUCCAGUCUAGUCCUAU